GUCUACGGCCAUACCACGUUGAAAGCACCGGUUCUCGUCCGAUCACCGAAGUUAAGCAACGUCGGGCCCGGUUAGUACUUGGAUGGGUGACCGCUUGGGAACACCGGGUAUUGUAGACA
rnacentral:rRNA from 1 species